rnacentral:rRNA from 1 species
CUCUAUAGAUUAUAAAAUAUAUAGUUGGCUCUGCUCACUGAAUUAAUUUUAAAGAGCUGCGGUAAUUUGACCGUGCUAAGGUAGCAUAAUCAGUUGUUCUUUAAUUGGGGGCUUGUAUGAAUGAGUUGACGAGGGUAAAUCUAUUUAUAUUAUUAAUUUGAAUUUGACUUUUAAUUGAAAAGGAUUAAAUAUAGUAAAGGGGCGAUAAGACCCUAUAAAAUUUUAUAAUUAAUUAAUUUCUGUUAAAUUUUUUAAAUUAGCAUAACUUAGAUAUUAUUAAGCUGGGGUGGUGUAAAUAUAAUUGUAACUGUUUAUUUUUUGAUAUAAUUAUAAUUAGAUUUAGAUCCUUUUAGGAAAGAGAUUAAAUUACUUUAGGGAUAACAGCGUAAUAAUUUCUUAGAGUUGAUAUCGAUGAUAUUAGUUGCGACCUCGAUGUUGAAUUAAGAUUACAUUUAGGGGCAGGUUUUUAAGGUGUAGGUCUGUUCGACCUAUAAAAUCUUACAUGAUUUGAGUUCAAGCCGGUG